UCCUGACUGACCGAUAGUGAACCAGUACCGUGAGGGAAAGGCGAAAAGAACCCCGGCGAGGGGAGUGAAAAAGAACCUGAAACCGUGUACGUACAAGCAGUGGGAGCACGCUUAGGCGUGUGACUGCGUACCUUUUGUAUAAUGGGUCAGCGACUUAUAUUCUGUAGCAAGGUUAACCGAAUAGGGGAGCCGAAGGGAAACCGAGUCUUAACUGGGCGUUAAGUUGCAGGGUAUAGACCCGAAACCCGGUGAUCUAGCCAUGGGCAGGUUGAAGGUUGGGUAACACUAACUGGAGGACCGAACCGACUAAUGUUGAAAAAUUAGCGGAUGACUUGUGGCUGGGGGUGAAAGGCCAAUCAAACCGGGAGAUAGCUGGUUCUCCCCGAAAGCUAUUUAGGUAGCGCCUCGUGAAUUCAUCUCCGGGGGUAGAGCACUGUUUCGGCAAGGGGGUCAUCCCGACUUACCAACCCGAUGCAAACUGCGAAUACCGGAGAAUGUUAUCACGGGAGACACACGGCGGGUGCUAACGUCCGUCGUGAAGAGGGAAACAACCCAGACCGCCAGCUAAGGUCCCAAAGUCAUGGUUAAGUGGGAAACGAUGUGGGAAGGCCCAGACAGCCAGGAUGUUGGCUUAGAAGCAGCCAUCAUUUAAAGAAAGCGUAAUAGCUCACUGGUCGAGUCGGCCUGCGCGGAAGAUGUAACGGGGCUAAACCAUGCACCGAAGCUGCGGCAGCGACGCUUAUGCGUUGUUGGGUAGGGGAGCGUUCUGUAAGCCUGCGAAGGUGUGCUGUGAGGCAUGCUGGAGGUAUCAGAAGUGCGAAUGCUGACAUAAGUAACGAUAAAGCGGGUGAAAAGCCCGCUCGCCGGAAGACCAAGGGUUCCUGUCCAACGUUAAUCGGGGCAGGGUGAGUCGACCCCUAAGGCGAGGCCGAAAGGCGUAGUCGAUGGGAAACAGGUUAAUAUUCCUGUACUUGGUGUUACUGCGAAGGGGGGACGGAGAAGGCUAUGUUGGCCGGGCGACGGUUGUCCCGGUUUAAGCGUGUAGGCUGGUUUUCCAGGCAAAUCCGGAAAAUCAAGGCUGAGGCGUGAUGACGAGGCACUACGGUGCUGAAGCAACAAAUGCCCUGCUUCCAGGAAAAGCCUCUAAGCAUCAGGUAACAUCAAAUCGUACCCCAAACCGACACAGGUGGUCAGGUAGAGAAUACCAAGGCGCUUGAGAGAACUCGGGUGAAGGAACUAGGCAAAAUGGUGCCGUAACUUCGGGAGAAGGCACGCUGAUAUGUAGGUGAAGUCCCUUGCGGAUGGAGCUGAAAUCAGUCGAAGAUACCAGCUGGCUGCAACUGUUUAUUAAAAACACAGCACUGUGCAAACACGAAAGUGGACGUAUACGGUGUGACGCCUGCCCGGUGCCGGAAGGUUAAUUGAUGGGGUCAGCGCAAGCGAAGCUCUUGAUCGAAGCCCCGGUAAACGGCGGCCGUAACUAUAACGGUCCUAAGGUAGCGAAAUUCCUUGUCGGGUAAGUUCCGACCUGCACGAAUGGCGUAAUGAUGGCCAGGCUGUCUCCACCCGAGACUCAGUGAAAUUGAACUCGCUGUGAAGAUGCAGUGUACCCGCGGCAAGACGGAAAGACCCCGUGAACCUUUACUAUAGCUUGACACUGAACAUUGAGCCUUGAUGUGUAGGAUAGGUGGGAGGCUUUGAAGUGUGGACGCCAGUCUGCAUGGAGCCGGCCUUGAAAUACCACCCUUUAAUGUUUGAUGUUCUAACGUGGACCCGUGAUCCGGGUUGCGGACAGUGUCUGGUGGGUAGUUUGACUGGGGCGGUCUCCUCCUAAAGAGUAACGGAGGAGCACGAAGGUUGGCUAAUCCUGGUCGGACAUCAGGAGGUUAGUGCAAUGGCAUAAGCCAGCUUGACUGCGAGCGUGACGGCGCGAGCAGGUGCGAAAGCAGGUCAUAGUGAUCCGGUGGUUCUGAAUGGAAGGGCCAUCGCUCAACGGAUAAAAGGUACUCCGGGGAUAACAGGCUGAUACCGCCCAAGAGUUCAUAUCGACGGCGGUGUUUGGCACCUCGAUGUCGGCUCAUCACAUCCUGGGGCUGAAGUAGGUCCCAAGGGUAUGGCUGUUCGCCAUUUAAAGUGGUACGCGAGCUGGGUUUAGAACGUCGUGAGACAGUUCGGUCCCUAUCUGCCGUGGGCGCUGGAGAACUGAGGGGGGCUGCUCCUAGUACGAGAGGACCGGAGUGGACGCAUCACUGGUGUUCGGGUUGUCAUGCCAAUGGCACUGCCCGGUAGCUAAAUGCGGAAGAGAUAAGUGCUGAAAGCAUCUAAGCACGAAACUUGCCCCGAGAUGAGUUCUCCCUGACCCUUUAAGGGUCCUGAAGGAACGUUGAAGACGACGACGUUGAUAGGCCGGGUGUGUAAGCGCAGCGAUGCGUUGAGCUAACCGGUACUAAUGAACCGUGAGGCU
rnacentral:rRNA from 1 species